UUUUUUUAAAAAAAAAAUCUGCACCCCUCUUUUUUCUUUUUUCCUCUGCUAGGGUUUUGAGACCCAUCAUUGCACCAUCGUCGAACAGCCUUGGCUCCACCGUGGACGGUGGUUGGAGCCACGCCAAAAUUAGAUUCGGCGGCGUCAAACGCGCGUGGAGGACACAUGCGUGGAGGAGCGGCAUGCGAAGUGGCCUGCUGAUGUGCGACGGCUGAAGUUUAGGGGGCUAGGGUUUCUGAAAGUUGUAUUUCUUUUGGGCUAGGGUUUGUUUUUUUGUUUUGGGCUUGUUGGGUUUUAAUUUGGGUUAUGGACUAUUAACAAAAUCUUUGGACUUGUUUAUGUUUGGGGUUUAUUUUUGAUUUAUUAAUUUGGGUUUUAGACCCAAAUUGGCUAUUACAAUGAUAGGAAUUAAAUUGUAAACUUAUGAAAUUUUUAAUUGAAAUAAGAGAAGUUAUGAUAAAA